rnacentral:rRNA from 1 species
AACUCUCAGCGAUGGAUCACUCGGCUUGUGCGUCGCUGAAGAACGUAGCUAACUGUGAGAAAAAAUGUGAAUUGCAGGACACAUUGAUCAUCGACACUUCGAACGCACCUUGGUCCUCAGGUUCCUCCUGGGGCUACGCCUGUUUGAGGGUCG